rnacentral:tRNA from 1 species
AGCCUUAAGGUGAUAUUCAUGUCGAAUUGCAAAUUCGGAGGUGUAGGAUACUCCCCUACUGAGGCUU